rnacentral:lncRNA from 1 species
UUAAAUCUGGCCCGAACAUAACACUCAGAUCUGAACCGAAACAAAAUCAUCAUCUUCAAUCUUCAGGAAAUAAAAGAAACGGGGUGGUGGGUGUUUACCGGAAAAUAAAGGGACUUGUCGGAGAACCAAAACGAGAUCGCCGCUGCCGGUUAUCGUUGUGACCUCCAUCGCCGCUGUCAGAUUGGUCGCCGGCUCGUCACCACCACUAUCUGUUAUCUUGACCCGAACACACUGACAACCUGAGACUUCCAAACAGAAAACCCGCCGAAUAGUGACAAAGACCAUCGGAUAAUAGAACCGAAACCGGUGUACUUCGCCGGAUAAAGAAAAUAUCCGGCGGUCAAUGGUUCCGACCGCCGGUUCCUUCACUCAUCUCGGCUCUCUCUCUCUUCUCGACUGCUCAAACCACCAUCCGGUUCUCUCUCUCUCUCGCUGAAACUUUGGUAGCCACCGUUCACCACAGUCAAGCCAACCACCACAACCGCCGCCUGUGGUGGUGCUGUUGUCAUUCACCGCCACUGAAUACCAUCACCGGAAAGCAUCGACGCCGGCUCCGCCGGUCGUCGGAUCUGAGUCAGAGAGGGAGUGAGAACUGGGGGGUGGGUGUGAGGGUGUGAUUUGUUUGGAGAGAUGAGGUUCAUAUGAGUGUAGAUGAUAUUGUGUGUCUAGGUAAUGUCGAUGUGUGUGUGAAAAUUAUGUAGACAAAGAGAGGAUAAGUUUGUGUGUGUAUGAGUGUUGAUGAGAGAUGGAAUUAUGUCUAUGUGUGUGUAUUUGGGGAAGGGAUGAGUUUAUGUCUAUGUUGUCUAUUUUUAUAG